CAUUGGGCCUUGUUGCCCUGGCCCGAACGGCAACCGACCUUCGACUGCACAUGUGGGAGCAUCCAAGGAAGAUAACCAAGCUCGACAUUGAUCCAUUGAAUGAUCGACAUUGAUCCAUUGAGGAAGCAUGCCUACCAUUUGGGAAUAGACCAAGUUCGGGAAGCAGAACAAGAACGCACCAUGCUGCAGAAAUAGUUGUGUAGGUCAGUCUGUGAAUGGAGGGAGAUUUCGGGAGAAAGUCAGGGACGUUGGCUUCUCGCCCGGAGGAUUCCUCGGUGACGGCACUCCGCCGGGAGGGAUCGUCGGAGUCUUGCCGAUCGGGAUACUCUGCUUUUCUGAAAAACUUUGACGGCACAAGAGCAUUGCCAGAUAUAUUAGAAGGGGAAGAUUGAGUUAAGUACAAGAACAAAGCAGAGCUGGGAAUUAGCCCUGAACAGCUAGGACCUCCUAAAAAAAGGAAGUCAGAUAAAUUACAAAAGGUCUAUAUUUUCCUAAAUCGAGAAGGCUACUUGGAUCGCCGGUUGCGAUUUCUGCUGGAAGAUCCGUCGGUUUCGUUCCAACCAUACAUGCCACCAAGUGGUUAACAGGUUCCUAUGAUUUUCUUUCUUUCACUUUUUGGCCUGAUGGUAGAAAGUGCUUCCACCCAGUCUGAAAUUGAUUGGGAGUCCGUGUGUAUAUGCCGGUAACCUUGCCAAGUGCAGAUUUGGUUCCAGACCGAUUUUGUGAAGUCGCAUUCUUCUGCAAGAUGUGUUGCAUCCUCAAAGGAGUCCCUGCAAAGACUGCAGAGCCAAACAAUGAAGUGAUGUUUUGGUUCAGCCUGGGAUUUCCAAAUCAUGGAAAAAAUUGCAGUGGAAGUAGUGCCAUUGAAUUGCGCCAAAUAAUCACUUCUUACCGUACGUGUAUUGACCAUUUUCUGUCUACUUCCAAAUGAUGUCGUCCUUUGCGCUUUCAUUGAGUUCCACAUACCUCAGUCUAUCUCAUAAUUGAACCAACAUGUGUGAUGGGGAGAACAAGAGCAACACAUGUAUGUACUCGCUCGCCUGGCUUGGCAUGGCUAGGCGGCGCGCAUAGGCGACAUGCAAUUGAAUAGUCCGUCAAAAUUCGUUCA